rnacentral:rRNA from 1 species
UACGAAGGGGGCUAGCGUUGUUCGGAAUUACUGGGCGUAAAGCGUAUGCAGGCGGACUUUUAAGUCGGGGGUGAAAUCCCGGGGCUCAACCUCGGAAUUGCCUUCGAUACUGUCUGUCUUGAGUCCGGGAGAGGUGAGUGGAAUUCCUAGUGUAGAGGUGAAAUUCGUAGAUAUUAGGAAGAACACCAGUGGCGAAGGCGGCUCACUGGCCCGGUACUGACGCUCAUGUGCGAAAGCGUGGGGAGCAAACAGG